rnacentral:lncRNA from 1 species
CGGAGCUGUUGUCUUGGUCUCUAGGAUUCACUUUAUGGCAAAGCUUCAGAUCAAAAGACAGAAGCAGCUACAGUCCGCAGAAAAAUAUGUACACGCAGUUCGUUCCAUUUCACCUCCCAAACCCCCAACUGGAGAGAAUCACAAGUGUUGCCUACGACGCGCAGGGAGAGCCGGUGGACACGGUACAGCAGAGCGCUGAAGCUCAGGGGAGGACGGACGGUGACCUAAGAAUUCUGGAUGCUCUUGCAGGACGUGUGGUGAUGCAUGCUUUUGGAAAUAAAGCCAAGAGAACGUGUCUGCUGUGAAUAUGAUAUAUAGAAUCCACUUAAAGUAAGGUCAAAUAUUUUAUAUAAGCGUAAGAAUCAAGUGAUGUCAGAUCUGCAACACCAUUGAGAUUUUUAAAAAUGAUUAUUGGUGAAAUUAAAAAUCAUUUCCUGUAUUCUUUUGCCCUGGAACAUCUAAAAUGUCACAGUAUUUUACACAUAUGUACCAUGAAUACAUAUCUAUAGAUUCAUACUUACAUACUUAUAUAAUAUAUAUUUAUAUUUAGUAAACAGA